AACAGAUCAUUUCACACUACGCCACUCUGCAUGGCUUUGUUUACAUCUCAACCAUUUAUAUACAUUGGUGGAGUUCCCCUUUAAGGCGCAUCUGUGCAUUCUGUGUGUUUUUAAAAAGUAAAUCUCAAUUGUAUCAAGUAAUUGAAUCACAUUGAAUUGUGGUGAAAUUUGACAUCUCAUGAAGCACUGAAUUGUUGCCUAAAGAAUCAUAAUCAAAAUGAAAUCAUGGGGAGGUCACAGUGAUUUAGUAUUGAAUAAAACAGUGUCUCACUGAGCACAGCAGGAUCCCAGCUCCAGCUUCAGCCUGGGUUGUUUCUCGCAGUCCUGGACUGUGUCCGGUAAAGGAAUGCCGCUGGUUUCUGGGAGCAACAAGCACAGCCCUGCCCCCAGGAUGGGUCCACUGCUGUAACAGAUCAUGGCUCCCAGAGAGACUCCACCCUUAGGAGCCACCACUGCAUUUACAAUGCAGCCCACCCGGUAACAUAGACUCACCAGGCCCACACACUUCUGCCUGCAAGACAGAGAUUUUUAGCAUGUAUGUACAAGCUGAUGAUCAAGUGAUUCUGAGAACAUGAAGUUCAGUUUACUGCUAACAGUUCAAAAGAAAAAUCAUUCCCUCCACAAAUGUCCAUUUGCAAAAUUAUUCAACCCCCAAAGUCAGUAUUUUGUGGCGCAACCUUUACAUUUUAUAACUAAAUGUUUCUGGCAGGUGCUUACAAGCUUCUGACAUCUCUCUAUUGGAAUUUUUGCCCAUUCCACAUGUGCAAAAGCUUCCAGCUCAUAAAUGUUACUUGGUUUACAUGCCACCACAGCUUUCUUUAAAUCCCACCAAAGACUUUCAGUGAGAUUUAAGUCCAGGGACUGAGAUGGCCACUAAACGACACUCCAGGAUCGAUCACUGAAUCAAGGUUUGGUUGACUUAGUAUGUUUGGGAUCACUGUCUUGCUGGAAAGUCCAAUGGUCACCAAGCUUCAAUUUACAUACUGAAGUCUUCACAUUCUUCUCCAAAAUGGCCUUGUACUUCAAAAAAUCCAUGAUGCCAGUCACACGGUCAAGACUGCCAGUUCCUGCAGCAGCAGAACAACCCCUCAACAGGACCGACCCACCUCCAUGCUUGACCAUGGGGAUGUUUUUUUUGUUAUAAUCUUUGCUUUUCUCACGCCAGACAUACCACUGAUCCACAGGUCCAAACAGAUUUAAUUUAGUUUCAUCACUUCAUAAAACUGUCUCCCAGAACUCCACAGGCCUGUCCAAAUUUCUUACUGCAUAUUCAGGUAAACUUUUUAUGUGCUUUUUGGUCAAGAGUGGAGUACAGUGAGGGUGUCCAGGCAUGAAGACUUGCUUGUGUAGUGUUUUUCUUAUCAUGUUCACUGAUACGUUUGUUCCUGUUUUCAUCAGGUCAUACUGCAAGUCUUUGGCAGUAAUAUGAGGGUUUUUCUCACUGUUCUGUUCAAAUGUCUGAUUCCUCUUGGUGAAAUUUUGCUCUUUCUUCCACAUUCAGUAGGGAACAGCUCUAUGCCGUAGAGGAGAGCAACACAGGUCGUCGCCUGCACACAAAGCUUUCCCAGCAGAGCGAGGGCCAUCACCAGAGCGGGUAUGUCUGAGGAGACAGCAUGAAGAGUUGUGAACAACUUGGAGAUGAGGAGAGAGAGCAAGCAGCCAACUCCGCUGAGCAGCAGACUUGCCAUGCUGAAGGAUCUACGACCCCAUCGUGCCAGCAGAAGUGGCAGGAAGAGUGAA